GGGCACAGAAAAUACUAUUUCCCAAAAAUUCACCUGCAUCCUUAAAAUGGUCAGUCUGUUUGUUCCCAAGGUGUUCUGACCAAGAGGAGAAGCAUUUGCGCAGGCAAGGAGUACACAAGACAGACAGUUUGGCAAGGAGGAUACAUAGAAUUCUUUGGAGGGAAGCAGUUCCUUCUCUUUGCAAGAAAUCUUGAAGGAGAGACAUACAUAUUUAAAGCACUCACAUCUCAACUUUUGGAAGGACUUUGACUUUGGCUUUUCUUGGAGUGUGAAAAAGAUCUAAUACUGUGCUACUGCCUCCCAAAAGGGCUGUAUGUACUUGCACCCUUGUGGUUCCUUGCAAAGUGCCCAGCUGGCAACACAGGAGUAAAAGCAGCACUGUUUGGAUCACCUCCCCUAAACUCCGUUGGGAGAACGUAACAGGAGAACAUUACAGUCUGUGUACAAAGCAGAUGACCAGUGGGUUCUGACCAUCACCUGGGUUACUGAAGGGACAACUUUGUCAUCAGACUCAACCACUGACCAGGAGAGAAACAAAUAACAAAAGCAAACUGUAAAGAGGAAGACAGAGCAGGUAUGAGCAGCCCUGCAGACUUCCUGGCCCCACCCUGUGGGUCACAGCAAGGUUGGCCUCCACCAGUCUUGGCAUCUAUGUUUCCAUGUGUGCUCAGCCUUAGGGGUGGUUGUGUUCCUUCUCACAGAUAGCACCUGGAAAAGCACUUCUUCUGGGGAGAGCUUCUAUGAACUGCAAGUAACCUUUGCUGUUGAUAAUCCUUGGUGGGAAAGAGGAUGGUGUAUGCAAAGCAAUGAUGUAACAAGUGGAGGGAUGUAGACGCUGUUCAGCUCACCAGCAAAACAAUGUCAGUCAUGUCUCUUUCAAAGCUUUGUUGCUGGAAGAUGGCAUUUUCUUUCCUGUCACGUUGCAGGCUGCAGAGAUAAAUCCUGCUUAGCUGUGAUCACGAUAAAAAGGCCACCCCAAUGGGUGUGAAUGCUGGAGAUCUGACCAAUGUGCUCAAAAGUGCAGACAGACAACCAAUCUUACAGGAAAACCUCUGAGAUGGAGAGCUUCAAGGUAGCUGACUACACCCUUAACCUCAAAAAAAAAAAGGUUGACCUUUGAAACCUGGGAUGCACGACUGGAAUGAGGAUCAGGCACACCAGUGCUUUCAUCUCAUUUUUGAUGGAGUAGCUUUGAGCUGAUGUGGAAGUCAUUUGAUCUGCCUGGCCUUUUGAAGAAUAAUUUCUGGCAUACAAUUUACAAGUUCUUAAUAAUUUAUUUCAAGAGAAGGUGCUGCAGCAGCAAGGCAGUGCUGGAGCAAGGGGAGGGUUGUGCUUGAAAUGGGAAGUACGUCUGCCAAGGGUAGAGUUUCUCUGAAUGCCACUGAUGAAGAGUAAAGUGCAUUAAG